UCCGGCGCCGUUACUUUGAAGAAAUUAGAGUGCUCAAAGCAAGCCUACGCUCUGUAUACAUUAGCAUGGGAUAACAUCAUAGGAUUUCGGUCCUAUUGUGUUGGCC
rnacentral:rRNA from 1 species